rnacentral:rRNA from 2 species
UACAGAGGUCUCAAGCGUUGUUCGGAAUCACUGGGCGUAAAGGGUGCGUAGGCGGCGCAGCAAGUCAGAUGUGAAAUCCGGAGGCUCAACCUCCGAACUGCAUCCGAAACUGCUGUGCUCGAGAUCUGUAGAGGGACUUGGAAUUCUCGGUGUAGCAGUGAAAUGCGUAGAUAUCGAGAAGAACGCUCGUGGCGAAGGCGAAGUCCUGGGCAGAUUCUGACGCUGAGGCACGAAGGCCAGGGGAGCAAACGGG